rnacentral:rRNA from 1 species
AACGAACGCUGGCGGCAGGCCUAACACAUGCAAGUCGAACGAACCUUUAUGGUGAGUGGCGCACGGGUGCGUAACACGUGGGAAUAUACAUUUCGGUAAGGAAUAACGUAGAGAAAUUUGCGCUAAUACCUUAUAAUGACUCCGGUCCAAAGAUUUAUCGCCGAAGGAUUAGCCCACGUCUGACUAGGUAGUUGGUAGGGUAAAAGCCUACCAAGCCGACGAUCAGUAGCUGGUCUGAGAGGAUGAUCAGCCACACUGGAACUGAGACACGGUCCAGACUCCUACGGGAGGCAGCAGUGAGGAAUAUUGGACAAUGGGGGAAACCCUGAUCCAGCCAUGCCGCGUGAGUGACGAAGGCCUUAGGGUUGUAAAGCUCUUUCAGAUGCGAAGAUAAUGACGGUAACAUCAGAAGAAGCUCCGGCUAAAUUCGUGCCAGCCGCCGCCGUAA